UGUCUGCGGAACAACAGAGGAGCUUAAAGUGGUCCCGACUAUGGAGAGAACCCCUCAGGAAGGCAUUUAAAAGGACUGCGUUCAGGAUUUUGCACGCUGAUGUGGUGGGAUCAUUUUAACUCCUUGCACAAUGUCUCGAAUCAACCAUAAGAAAUGAUGACAGGCGGUGGUCACUAGAGAUCACAGACUGUUGCAUAUAUUCAUGGAAGAAGCAACGCAGUGAGGCAUUCCUUAUUUGGGGGUACUCUGGACAUUUUGAAUUAUGUGACUACAAGAAAAUUGGGUUUAAUUAAUCUGUAUCUUGAGUUUGCGAAGAAGUGGAAACAUAUGUAGGUGGAGCCCGUUCCAGCCCUUUCCGUGGUUUCAUUUGCUGUAGCGGAUCCAGCUGGAAAAUGAAUUGGAAGCCUGGCAACCCACCUUGGCAGGAUCUGCUGUCUGAGGCUGGGGUGAAGCCCAUCUCACACUCGCAACGGAAAGCCUAUUGGGUGUCCUGAGAUGGGGAUAACGGAGCACUCCGC